AUACGGAGGUUGCAAGCGUUAUCCGGAAUCAUUGGGUUUAAAGGGUCCGUAGGCGGACUAUUAAGUCAGAGGUGAAAUCCCACAGCUCAACUGUGGAACUGCCUUUGAUACUGGUAGUCUUGAGUUAUAUGGAAGUAGAUAGAAUGUGUAGUGUAGCGGUGAAAUGCAUAGAUAUUACACAGAAUACCGAUUGCGAAGGCAGUCUACUACGUAUAUACUGACGCUAAGGGACGAAAGCGUGGGGAGCGAACAAGAUUAGAAACCCCAGUAGUCC
rnacentral:rRNA from 1 species